UACGUAGGGGCAAGGGCAGUUGUUCCGGAAUCCGAAUUGGUGCGUAAAGCGCGUGUAGGCGGCCAGAAAAGUCCGCUGUGAAAACUCGAGGCUCAACUUCGAGCUGUCGGUGGAAACUUUCUGGCUAGAGUCCGGAAGAGGAGAAUGGAAUUCCUGGUGUAGCGGUGAAAUGCGCAGAUAUCAGGAAGAACACCCGUGGCGAAGGCGGUUCUCUGGGACGGUACUGACGCUGAGACGCGAAAGCGUGGGGAGCGAACAGG
rnacentral:rRNA from 1 species